CACGUAGGGCGCGAGCGUUGUCCGGAAUUAUUGGGCGUAAAGAGCUCGUAGGCGGCCUGUUGCGUCCGCUGUGAAAGCCCGGGGCUUAACCCCGGGUCUGCAGUGGAUACGGGCAGGCUAGAGGUAGGUAGGGGAGAAUGGAAUUCCCGGUGUAGCGGUGAAAUGACGCAGAUAUCGGGAGGAACACCGGUGGCGAAGGCGGUUCUCUGGGCCUUACCUGACGCUGAGGAGCGAAAGCGUGGGGAGCGAACAGG
rnacentral:rRNA from 1 species